rnacentral:lncRNA from 1 species
GAAUGACAGCUGUAAAUAAUAACCUUAUGUUAUGUAUGACAUACAUGACAUAGUUUCUGUAAUUUGUAAUACUUAUUCUCAUUACACCUAUAAAUAUAUAGACCUGAAUCAAGCGAUUUUCCUAAAUUCCUUGAUAGGUCAACGUCAAAAGACCAAGGUAGCCUGUUGUCACCUGGCAUUUAGCUUUUGACCCUAUGCGCCUAUAAAUUGUGUUUGUGUUAUAGGGAAGGGGGAUUUUGAAAUUAUUGAAUUAUCGGUGCUGGCAAUUACCGAAAAUAAGUACCCAAGUACAGUAAUAAGCCCCUGUGACAGGAUGAAACAGUUUAAAAAGAAAUAAUCUACAG